rnacentral:lncRNA from 1 species
CUUCCACCCUCCUGACUCUGGACAUCCCAGGAGUGGGUGAGAUGUGAGCUGGGCCUGACUGUGGCCUUCUCACCCUCUACCUCAAAGCUGGAAAAGUUCCUGAGGUAACCUGACUUCUCUGAGCUGUCCUGAGUCACAAGACAGGCUUAUGUUUGGGCUCAAGACAGGGCCAAAGAUAGGCCCCUCACAGGACUCUCAGACUCCCUCUGCCACACAAA